UACAGAGGGGGCAAGCGUUGUUCGGAAUUACUGGGCGUAAAGGGCGCGUAGGCGGCCUUGUCAGUCAGGCGUGAAAGCCCCGGGCUCAACCUGGGAACGGCGCUUGGGACGGCGAGGCUGGAGUUCGGGAGAGGAGAGUGGAAUUCCCAGUGUAGAGGUGAAAUUCGUAGAUAUUGGGAAGAACACCGAUGGCGAAGGCGGCUCGCUGGGACGGUAUUGACGCUGAGACGCGAAAGCGUGGGGAGCAAACAGG
rnacentral:rRNA from 1 species